CUUGGUCAUUUAGAGGAAGUAAAAGUCGUAACAAGGUCUCCGUUGGUGAACCAGCGGAGGGAUCAUUACCGAGUUUACAACUCCCAAACCCCUGUGAACAUACCUAUACGUUGCCUCGGCGGAUCAGCCCGCGCCCCGUAAAAAGGGACGGCCCGCCCGAGGACCCCUAAACUCUGUUUUUAGUGGAACUUCUGAGUAAAACAAACAAAUAAAUCAAAACUUUCAACAACGGAUCUCUUGGUUCUGGCAUCGAUGAAGAACGCAGCAAAAUGCGAUAAGUAAUGUGAAUUGCAGAAUUCAGUGAAUCAUCGGAUCUUUGAACGCACAUUGCGCCCGCCAGUAUUCUGGCGGGCAUGCCUGUUCGAGCGUCAUUUCAACCCUCAAGCUCAGCUUGGUGUUGGGACUCGCGGCAACCCGCGUUCCCCAAAUCGAUUGGCGGUCACGUCGAGCUUCCAUAGCGUAGUAAUCAUACACCUCGUUACUGGUAAUCGUCGCGGCCACGCCGUAAAACCCCAACUUCUAAAUGUUGACCUCGGAUCAGGUAGGAAUACCCGCUGAACUUAAGCAUAUCAAUAAGCGGAGGA
rnacentral:misc_RNA from 1 species